rnacentral:lncRNA from 1 species
GAUCGGGAGAGAUUUGUCCCUCCUAGCAGCAGCCAGACUUCCAAUAAAUUGUUGAAUCUGCAAAGAGGAGGACUGACUGCUACUUCAAUACAAGGGGCAGAGAAAGAAGUAGACACACAGACUCCAGUACUUUCUUCCCAGGUCAGGCCUGCUACUGGAGAAAAGAGUGUCCAGAUGGAAGAGAGAGAGCGCACCAUCUGUUUGUUCAAACAAACUGGGACUGCUAACUGCUGUGUGCUCAAAAAGACAGCAAAACCUAAUGAAAUGUUCCCUGCAAGAACAAAAUGGAACACCAAAAAAUAGACAGAAAAAGUCUACAGUAUAAAAAAGGUAGGCAUAUUUGCACUGAACAAAAAUGAAUAAGACUCAAGAGCUAGAAAAUAUGUAUCAUAUAUUUGGAUUCUUAUUUUUAUUGUAUGC